rnacentral:rRNA from 1 species
AGGUGACCUGCGGAAGGAUCAUUACAGAGUUCAUGCCCUUCGGGGUAGAUCUCCCACCCUUGUGUAUCAUUAUAGAAUGUUGCUUUGGCGGGCCGCGCCUUGUGCGCCUGGAUUCGCGUCCAGCGUGCCCGCCAGAGGACCCCUAAACUCUGAAUGUUAGUGUCGUCUGAGUACUAUUAAAUAGUUAAAACUUUCAACAACGGAUCUCUUGGUUCUGGCAUCGAUGAAGAACGCAGCGAAAUGCGAUAAGUAAUGUGAAUUGCAGAAUUCAGUGAAUCAUCGAAUCUUUGAACGCACAUUGCGCCCCCUGGUAUUCCGGGGGGCAUGCCUGUUCGAGCGUCAUUUAUACCAAUCUAGCCUGGCUAGGUGUUGGGCUUCGCCGUCUGGCGGGCCUUAAAACUAGUGGCGGUGCUCUUAAGCUCUACGCGUAGUAAUUUUCUCGCUAUAGGGUCUUGGGAGAUGCUUGCCAGCAACCCCAAAUUUUCUAGGUUGACCUCGGAUCAGGUAGGGAUACCCGCUGAACUUAAGCAUAUCAAUAAGCGGAGGAAAAGAAACCAACAGGGAUUACCUCAGUAACGGCGAGUGAAGCGGUAACAGCUCAAAUUUGAAAUCUGGCUCUUUUAGGGUCCGAGUUGUAAUUUGUAGAAGAUGCUUUGGGUGUGGCCCUGGUCUAAGUUCCUUGGAACAGGACGUCAUAGAGGGUGAGAAUCCCGUAUGUGACUAGGUGCUUUCGCCCGUGUAAAGCUCUUUCGACGAGUCGAGUUGUUUGGGAAUGCAGCUCAAAUGGGUGGUAAAUUCAUC